CAUCUUCGGGGGUAGAGCACUGUUUCGGCUAGGGGGUCAUCCCGACUUACCAACCCGAUGCAAACUACGAAUACCGAAGAAUGUUAUCACGGGAGACACACGGCGGGUGCUAACGUCCGUCGUGAAGAGGGAAACAACCCAGACCGCCAGCUAAGGUCCCAAAGUCAUGGUUAAGUGGGAAACGAUGUGGGAAGGCACAGACAGCCAGGAUGUUGGCUUAGAAGCAGCCAUCAUUUAAAGAAAGCGUAAUAGCUCACUGGUCGAGUCGGCCUGCGCGGAAGAUGUAACGGGGCUAAACCAUGCACCGAAGCUGCGGCAGCGACACUAUGUGUUGUUGGGUAGGGGAGCGUUCUGUAAGCCUGCGAAGGUGUGCUGUGAGGCAUGCUGGAGGUAUCAGAAGUGCGAAUGCUGACAUAAGUAACGAUAAAGCGGGUGAAAAGCCCGCUCGCCGGAAGACCAAGGGUUCCUGUCCAACGUUAAUCGGGGCAGGGUGAGUCGACCCCUAAGGCGAGGCCGAAAGGCGUAGUCGAUGGGAAACAGGUUAAUAUUCCUGUACUUGGUGUUACUGCGAAGGGGGGACGGAGAAGGCUAUGUUAGCCGGGCGACGGUUGUCCCGGUUUAAGCAUGUAGGCUGGUUAUCCAGGCAAAUCCGGAUAAUCAAGGCUGAGGUGUGAUGACGAGGCACUACGGUGCUGAAGUAACAAAUGCCCUGCUUCCAGGAAAAGCCUCUAAGCAUCAGGUAACAUCAAAUCGUACCCCAAACCGACACAGGUGGUCAGGUAGAGAAUACCAAGGCGCUUGAGAGAACUCGGGUGAAGGAACUAGGCAAAAUGGUGCCGUAACUUCGGGAGAAGGCACGCUGGUGUGUAGGUGAAGUCCCUGCGG
rnacentral:rRNA from 1 species